AUGCAAGUCGAGCGGAACGAUCCUAGCUUGCUAGGAGGCGUCGAGCGGCGGACGGGUGAGUAACACGUGAGAAUCUGCCCAUUAGAGGGGGAUAACCUGGGGAAACCCAGGCUAAUACCGCAUAAUCCCUACGGGGGAAAGCAGGGGAUCUUCGGACCUUGUGCUGAUGGAUGAGCUCGCGUCGGAUUAGCUUGUUGGUGAGGUAAUGGCUCACCAAGGCGACGAUCCGUAGCUGGUCUUAGAGGAUGAUCAGCCACACCGGGACUGAGACACGGCCCGGACUCCUACGGGAGGCAGCAGUGGGGAAUCUUGGACAAUGGGGGCAACCCUGAUCCAGCCAUGCCGCGUGUGUGAAGAAGGCCUUCGGGUUGUAAAGCACUUUCAGUAGGGAGGAAGGCUUAUCCUUAAUACGGAUGAGUACUUGACGUUACCUACAGAAGAAGCACCGGCUAAUUUCGUGCCAGCAGCCGCGGUAAUACGAAAGGUGCGAGCGUUAAUCGGAAUUACUGGGCGUAAAGCGCGCGUAGGCGGUUUGCUAAGUCAGAUGUGAAAGCCCCGGGCUCAACCUGGGAACUGCAUUUGAAACUGGCAGGCUAGAAUGCAGUAGAGGGAGGUGGAAUUUCCGGUGUAGCGGUGAAAUGCGUAGAGAUCGGAAGGAACACCAGUGGCGAAGGCGGCCUCCUGGACUGACAUUGACGCUGAAGUGCGAAAGCGUGGGGAGCAAACAGGAUUAGAUACCCUGGUAGUCCACGCCGUAAACGAUGUCUACUAGUCGUUGGGAAUCUUAGUAUUCUUGGUGACGAAGUUAACGCGAUAAGUAGACCGCCUGGGGGAGUACGGCCGCAAGGUUAAAACUCAAAUGAAUUGACGGGGGCCCGCACAAGCGGUGGAGCAUGUGGUUUAAUUCGAUGCAACGCGAAGAACCUUACCAGGCCUUGACAUCCUUGGAACUUUCUAGAGAUAGAUUGGUGCCUUCGGGAGCCAAGUGACAGGUGCUGCAUGGCUGUC
rnacentral:rRNA from 1 species